GCGCACGGGUGCGUAACGCGUAUGCAAUCUACCUUUUACAGAGGGAUAGCCCAGAGAAAUUUGGAUUAAUACCUCAUAGUAUAAUGAGUUGGCAUCAACACAUUAUUAAAGUCACAACGGUAAAAGAUGAGCAUGCGUCCCAUUAGCUUGUUGGUAAGGUAACGGCUUACCAAGGCAACGAUGGGUAGGGGUCCUGAAAGGGGAGAUCCCCCACACUGGUACUGAGACACGGACCAGACUCCUACGGGAGGCAGCAGUGAGGAAUAUUGGACAAUGGGCGCAAGCCUGAUCCAGCCAUGCCGCGUGCAGGAUGACGGUCCUAUGGAUUGUAAACUGCUUUUGUACAGGAAGAAACACUGGUUCGUGAACCAGCUUGACGGUACUGUAAGAAUAAGGAUCGGCUAACUCCGUGCCAGCAGCCGCGGUAAUACGGAGGAUCCAAGCGUUAUCCGGAAUCAUUGGGUUUAAAGGGUCCGUAGGCGGUCAGAUAAGUCAGUGGUGAAAGCCCAUCGCUCAACGGUGGAACGGNCCAUUGAUACUGUCUGACUUGAAUUAUUAGGAAGUAACUAGAAUAUGUAGUGUAGCGGUGAAAUGCUUAGAGAUUACAUGGAAUACCAAUUGCGAAGGCAGGUUACUACUAAUGGAUUGACGCUGAUGGACGAAAGCGUGGGUAGCGAACAGGAUUAGAUACCCUGGUAGUCCACGCCGUAAACGAUGGAUACUAGCUGUUGGGAGCAAUCUCAGUGGCUAAGCGAAAGUGAUAAGUAUCCCACCUGGGGAGUACGUUCGCAAGAAUGAAACUCAAAGGAAUUGACGGGGGCCCGCACAAGCGGUGGAGCAUGUGGUUUAAUUCGAUGAUACGCGAGGAACCUUACCAAGGCUUAAAUGUAGAUUGACCGGUUUGGAAACAGAUCUUUCGCAAGACAAUUUACAAGGUGCUGCAUGGUUGUCGUCAGCUCGUGCCGUGAGGUGUCAGGUUAAGUCCUAUAACGAGCGCAACCCCUGUUGUUAGUUGCCAGCGAGUCAUGUCGGGAACUCUAACGAGACUGCCAGUGCAAACUGAGAGGAAGGUGGGGAUGACGUCAAAUCAUCACGGCCCUUACGCCUUGGGCUACACACGUGCUACAAUGGCCGGUACAGAGAGCAGCCACUGGGUGACCAGGAGCGAAUCUACAAAACCGGUCACAGUUCGGAUCGGAGUCUGCAACUUCGA
rnacentral:rRNA from 1 species